UGUUUGAUGUUCUAACGUGGACCCGUAAUCCGGGUUGCGGACAGUGUCUGGUGGGUAGUUUGACUGGGGCGGUCUCCUCCUAAAGAGUAACGGAGGAGCACGAAGGUUGGCUAAUCCUGGUCGGACAUCAGGAGGUUAGUGCAAUGGCAUAAGCCAGCUUGACUGCGAGCGUGACGGCGCGAGCAGGUGCGAAAGCAGGUCAUAGUGAUCCGGUGGUUCUGAAUGGAAGGGCCAUCGCUCAACGGAUAAAAGGUACUCCGGGGAUAACAGGCUGAUACCGCCCAAGAGUUCAUAUCGACGGCGGUGUUUGGCACCUCGAUGUCGGCUCAUCACAUCCUGGGGCUGAAGUAGGUCCCAAGGGUAUGGCUGUUCGCCAUUUAAAGUGGUACGCGAGCUGGGUUUAGAACGUCGUGAGACAGUUCGGUCCCUAUCUGCCGUGGGCGCUGGAGAACUGAGGGGGGCUGCUCCUAGUACGAGAGGACCGGAGUGGACGCAUCACUGGUGUUCGGGUUGUCAUGCCAAUGGCACUGCCCGGUAGCUAAAUGCGGAAGAGAUAAGUGCUGAAAGCAUCUAAGCACGAAACUUGCCCCGAGAUGAGUUCUCCCUGACUCCUUGAGAGUCCUGAAGGAACGUUGAAGACGACGACGUUGAUAGGCCGGGUGUGUAAGCGCAGCGAUGCGUUGAGCUAACCGGUACUAAUGAACCGUGAGGCUUAACCUU
rnacentral:rRNA from 1 species